GAAAGUGAAGCUCAGUUGAAGAAGGCCUUAGAGGAGAGUAAGAGAAAGAAAAAAGAAAAAGGGAAAGGGAAAGUAGGUGAAAGUUCUGCAGUUGCAGCUGAAAAGGAGGAAGAGGAGAUGGAGCUAGUCCAUCAAGAAAGAAAUUUUACUGAGGAGGUUCCAAUUGCUAAACCAAAGGGAGCUAGAAUUUCCUCCAAGAAACCCUCAAAGCCAAUACUUGCUGAAUCCUCUCUUGCCAAGAGAACUAGGUCAGCCUCUAAAGGAAAGCAAGUUAAAAUGGCUGAAGAUGAAGAUGAGAGUGAAGAAGAAAGAGAAGAAGAUGAAUCUGAAAAAGAACAUGAUAGGUAUGCCAAUUUUGGCAGGAGAAAGAUCUUGAAUAAAGAAGAACAAGGUGAGAGUGAAGAAGAAGUAGAUGAAUCUGAAAAGGAACAGGAUAGGUAUGCCAACUUUGGCAAGAGAAAAAUAUUGAAGGGGAGAUUGUUGAAAGACCUGGAGGAGCCAGGUAUGAUGAGACUUUUGACAGCACUGGAAGCACUAGGCUGGAAAGACAUGGUCCUUC
rnacentral:lncRNA from 1 species